rnacentral:rRNA from 1 species
UACGAAGGGGGCUAGCGUUGCUCGGAAUCACUGGGCGUAAAGCGCGCGUAGGCGGGUCUUUAAGUCAGGGGUGAAAUCCUGGAGCUCAACUCCAGAACUGCCUUUGAUACUGAGGAUCUCGAGUCCGGGAGAGGUGAGUGGAACUCCGAGUGUAGAGGUGAAAUUCGUAGAUAUUCGCAAGAACACCAGUGGCGAAGGCGGCUCACUGGCCCGGUACUGACGCUGAGGUGCGAAAGCGUGGGGAGCAAACAGG